ensembl:lncRNA
CCAUUUUUAUUGCACAGAUUGACUUGGAUUCCCUGAAAGAAGGAAAGCCAAAAAUUUCCUCUGGAGGGGGCCCAGCUAAGAAGAGAAGGAAAGAAGGUCAAGUGGAGAACCGCUGGACACACUGCUGAGAGACAGAUCUUUUCACUUGGAAACUGUGAUUUAUCCAUCCUUAUUGUAAGAAGAUGGCUGUCCUUGUUCCAAAAGGCUGUCCUCUGUGUGAGGAAUGAUUGUGUGACCAAUGCCAAUGGUAUUCCGGCGUGA